CUAAAUGUUUUUCUCCGUUUCCAUGUUUAUUUAUUUUGUGUGUAAUCAAAGCACUUCUUUGCGACGGUAAGCCACCAUGUGUAGAAACCGUUAACUUCGAAAUAUUUCGGCAUGAGAAGCUUUGAUUGAUAUCGCGUUUCGAGUAAUGUAAAUAAAAUAGCCUACAUUAAGGCGAAUGAACCAAAUAAAUUCAAAAACGGUAAGUGAUGGAAAUUUCCAUAUAGGAAAAUUCCCUGAUGCGUAGAUUAAAAAAAAACCAGUGGAAAAUUACUCUCUACGACUGAUUUUAAAAGAACACAAAGGCACUAUAGAAAAAGGUAGUUACUGCGAGUUAAUAAAUAGCUCGAUCCAACUCGUCGCGCGAUCAAUUUAUCUUUUCUGGUGGAGUGUUAAAGACAACCGAGUUUUUUGAAAAAAAGUUGGAAAAAUAAUUAAAGUUGGUGCAUAAAGUGCUAAAUUCGAAUAAAUUUAGUGAGUUGGUUAGCAAAAACGUUGAGAAAGCCUGAAAUUUGUGAAAGUUAAGGAUUAGAAUCAGGUAAGCUGGUGAGCCAUUUGACCCAAAAGCGAGUGAGAAAUAAUUGUGACCACGUUAAACAGGCCUUGCCCAUCUAACGUGGGCGGUUUAUCUAGGGCUUAUCCUAGCUGGAUUUUUCCCGAGUGCAGCCGAGACCGGAACCACCUGUGGUGCUGCGAGCUUCCGUUUGAUAGUCGACCACUUCGCGCUCGAGUGUGGUGAAUACGGUGAGCCGAGAAACCCGAACUCGUCGCGCCAAGACGUGUGGUACCGAGCUUCGCAGAACCUGCUCGAAUCUCCACCAAGCGUGAGGACGCCUCUACCUCACCCCUACCCACGCACGAGUUGGCUCAUCGGACUACGUUGGAGGAAGCAAAUCGUUCGGUCGGCUGGUUCGUCAUAUUGUGGCUCGGCUUCGAGAGACUGCUCGACUGCGAACGACGUGGAGCAGCGUAUCGACGGAAAAUUCAAGGUCAGACCUAGCUGUAAGAUACGAUUGCGCAACGUAUAAAGAAGAGUUUUUUGAAGAGAAUUGAAUGAGCUCGAAUGUGACGUCACACGGUCAGUAGCCAGUUGUAUUUGAUUCAGAAUCGUUCUAUGGAAUCGAAACUGACUGAAAUGAGAACUUGUAAAACUCAUUAAAUUUGCCUUUUUAAUAGUUUUUUUUUCGUUUUCUUGGUUUUUAAAUAAAAUUUUGAUUACUUCGAGCUUAGUAAAAACAUUC